GACGAAGGGGGCUAGCGUUGUUCGGAAUUACUGGGCGUAAAGCGCGUGUAGGCGGUUGCCCAAGUCGGGUGUGAAAGCCUUGAGCUCACUCAAGAAAUGCACUCGGUACUGGGUGACUAGAGGACCGGAGAGGGAUAGUGGAAUUCCCAGUGUAGUGGUGAAAUACGUAGAGAUUGGGAAGAACACCAGUGGCGAAGGCGGCUAUCUGGACGGUUUCUG
rnacentral:rRNA from 1 species